CGUGGUCGAUUAUGGUUGUUGGUGAGGUAACGGCUCACCAAGCCGAUAAUCGAUAGGGGCCGUGAGAGCGGGAGCCCCGAGAUGGGUACUGAGACACCGACCCAGACCUUACGAGGUGCAGCAGGCGCGAGACCUCCGCAAUACACGAAAGUGUGACGGGGUUACCCAAAGUGUUCAUUAUUGAACUGUGGUAGGUGAGUAAUGUCCCCUACUAUAAAGGAGAGGGCAAGGCUGGUGCCAGCCGCCGCGGUAAAACCAGCUCUUCAAGUGGUCGGGAUGAUUAUUGGGCUUAAAGUGUCCGUAUCCGGUUUAGUAAGUUCCUGGUAAAAUCGGGUAGCUUAACUAUCUGUAUGCU
rnacentral:rRNA from 1 species